rnacentral:rRNA from 1 species
UACGAAGGGGGCUAGCGUUGCUCGGAAUCACUGGGCGUAAAGCGCACGUAGGCGGAUUGUUAAGUCAGGGGUGAAAUCCUGGAGCUCAACUCCAGAACUGCCUUUGAUACUGGCGAUCUUGAGUCCGGGAGAGGUGAGUGGAACUGCGAGUGUAGAGGUGAAAUUCGUAGAUAUUCGCAAGAACACCAGUGGCGAAGGCGGCUCACUGGCCCGGUACUGACGCUGAGGUGCGAAAGCGUGGGGAGCAAACAGGAUUAGAUACCCCGGUAGUCC